CAUUUCCAAAGGAGACUUUCAUUGUAAAGUUUCAGAAGGUACUUUAUUCAUGAUAUGUGUGGCUAUUAAUAAAACUUCAGACCAAAAAGGUUUAGGUAAUUUGGAUCGUAUCAUGAUAGCUGUCCCACUUUGUAGUAAUGUUUUGUGUUUUCUUUCAACUCUACCAUUUUGUUGUGGAGAGUCUGGACAACUCUGUUGGCGUAAAAUGCCUUUUGCAUCUAAGAGGGUCUGCACUUGUUUGUUUCUGAAUUCAGUACCAUUGUCUGUGUUAAUUGUCUUUACUUUGCUAAACUGGGUUUCAAUUAGUUGUAGGUAGUGUUUUAUGACAUCAAUUACUUGCAUUUUUUUUGAUAUCAUAUAAACCCAAGUAUAUCUACUAUAAUCCUUAAGUAUUGUCAUCAUAUACUUUGCUCCUGUGAUAGAAUUGAUUGAGCAUGGACCCCAAACAUCCAUGUGCAUUGAAUCAAAUGGUUUUUCUGUAUAACUAGUGCUAAUGGAAAAUGGCUGUCUUUGUUGUUUGGAUAAAGGGCAUACAAGACAAUCAUAACAUUCAUUAUUGAAUUGGAUAACAAUGAUAUGUGUUUAAUUCUCUGAUUUGAAAUGCGUCCUUGCUUGCUAUGCCACAAUAAUUUGACAAGCUUGUUAUGGUUUAGGCAAGUAUUAUUUACAGCAAAAUUUGAAAUUGAAGCAUAAGAAGUAGAAUGAGGAUUAGAAAUGACAAAGAAAUUAGCACUCAGAUGAUAUAGGUCCCCAUCAACUCUUCCAAUGGCAAUGACAAGAUCAGUCUGCAAAUCCUGAAAGACACAAUGAUCGGUUAUUGAUCUUCAAGAGUAAGAAGAAUGAGAUGGAGAUAAAGGAUCAAAAUUAUAGGCUCUGAUAGCAUGACGAGAAUUCCAAAAUACCGAAUUGAAGCUUCUCAAGUAGUAAAAAUUGAGGGAAAAUAUUGUAGUAUAUUGAAUGUAGAAGAUUAUACAAAUUAAUGAACUAAGUAAUUAAUCGUU